rnacentral:rRNA from 1 species
CUAAUCUGCGAAAAGCGUCGGUAAGGUGAUAUGAACCGUUAUAUCCGGCGAUGUCCGAAUGGGGAAACCCAGUGCAAUUCGUUGCACUAUCGUUAACUGAAUACAUAGGUUAACGAGGCGAACCGGGGGAACUGAAACAUCUAAGUACCCCGAGGAAAAGAAAUCAACCGAGAUUCCCCCAGUAGCGGCGAGCGAACGGGGAGCAGCCCAGAGUCUGAAUCAGCUUGUGUGUUAGUGGAACGGUCUGGAAAGUCCGACGGUACAGGGUGAUAGUCCCGUACACCAAAAUGCACAGGCUGUGAACUCGAAGAGUAGGGCGGGACACGUGGUAUCCUGUCUGAAUAUGGGGGGACCAUCCUCCAAGGCUAAAUACUCCUGACUGACCGAUAGUGAACCAGUACCGUGAGGGAAAGGCGAAAAGAACCCCGGCGAGGGGAGUGAAAAAGAACCUGAAACCGUGUACGUACAAGCAGUGGGAGCACCUUCGGGUGUGACUGCGUACCUUUUGUAUAAUGGGUCAGCGACUUAUAUUCUGUAGCAAGGUUAACCGUAUAGGGGAGCCGCAGGGAAACCGAGUCUUAACUGGGCGUUAAGUUGCAGGGUAUAGACCCGAAACCCGGUGAUCUAGCCAUGGGCAGGUUGAAGGUUGGGUAACACUAACUGGAGGACCGAACCGACUAAUGUUGAAAAAUUAGCGGAUGACUUGUGGCUGGGGGUGAAAGGCCAAUCAAACCGGGAGAUAGCUGGUUCUCCCCGAAAGCUAUUUAGGUAGCGCCUCGUGAAUUCAUCUUCGGGGGUAGAGCACUGUUUCGGCUAGGGGGUCAUCCCGACUUACCAACCCGAUGCAAACUACGAAUACCGAAGAAUGUUAUCACGGGAGACACACGGCGGGUGCUAACGUCCGUCGUGAAGAGGGAAACAACCCAGACCGCCAGCUAAGGUCCCAAAGUCAUGGUUAAGUGGGAAACGAUGUGGGAAGGCACAGACAGCCAGGAUGUUGGCUUAGAAGCAGCCAUCAUUUAAAGAAAGCGUAAUAGCUCACUGGUCGAGUCGGCCUGCGCGGAAGAUGUAACGGGGCUAAACCAUGCACCGAAGCUGCGGCAGCGACACUAUGUGUUGUUGGGUAGGGGAGCGUUCUGUAAGCCUGCGAAGGUGACCUGUGAGGGUUGCUGGAGGUAUCAGAAGUGCGAAUGCUGACAUAAGUAACGAUAAAGCGGGUGAAAAGCCCGCUCGCCGGAAGACCAAGGGUUCCUGUCCAACGUUAAUCGGGGCAGGGUGAGUCGACCCCUAAGGCGAGGCCGAAAGGCGUAGUCGAUGGGAAACAGGUUAAUAUUCCUGUACUUGGUGUUACUGCGAAGGGGGGACGGAGAAGGCUAUGUUAGCCGGGCGACGGUUGUCCCGGUUUAAGCAUGUAGGCUGGUUGUCCAGGCAAAUCCGGAUAAUCAAGGCUGAGGUGUGAUGACGAGGCACUACGGUGCUGAAGUAACAAAUGCCCUGCUUCCAGGAAAAGCCUCUAAGCAUCAGGUAACAUCAAAUCGUACCCCAAACCGACACAGGUGGUCAGGUAGAGAAUACCAAGGCGCUUGAGAGAACUCGGGUGAAGGAACUAGGCAAAAUGGUGCCGUAACUUCGGGAGAAGGCACGCUGGUGUGUAGGUGAAGUCCCUGCGGAUGGAGCUGAGACCAGUCGAAGAUACCAGCUGGCUGCAACUGUUUAUUAAAAACACAGCACUGUGCAAACACGAAAGUGGACGUAUACGGUGUGACGCCUGCCCGGUGCCGGAAGGUUAAUUGAUGGGGUUAUCCGUAAGGAGAAGCUCUUGAUCGAAGCCCCGGUAAACGGCGGCCGUAACUAUAACGGUCCUAAGGUAGCGAAAUUCCUUGUCGGGUAAGUUCCGACCUGCACGAAUGGCGUAAUGAUGGCCAGGCUGUCUCCACCCGAGACUCAGUGAAAUUGAACUCGCUGUGAAGAUGCAGUGUACCCGCGGCAAGACGGAAAGACCCCGUGAACCUUUACUAUAGCUUGACACUGAACAUUGAGCCUUGAUGUGUAGGAUAGGUGGGAGGCUUUGAAGCGUGGACGCCAGUCUGCGUGGAGCCAACCUUGAAAUACCACCCUUUAAUGUUUGAUGUUCUAACGUUGGCCCCUGACCGGGGUUGCGGACAGUGUCUGGUGGGUAGUUUGACUGGGGCGGUCUCCUCCCAAAGCGUAACGGAGGAGCACGAAGGUUAGCUAAUCCUGGUCGGACAUCAGGAGGUUAGUGCAAUGGCAUAAGCUAGCUUGACUGCGAGCGUGACGGCGCGAGCAGGUGCGAAAGCAGGUCAUAGUGAUCCGGUGGUUCUGAAUGGAAGGGCCAUCGCUCAACGGAUAAAAGGUACUCCGGGGAUAACAGGCUGAUACCGCCCAAGAGUUCAUAUCGACGGCGGUGUUUGGCACCUCGAUGUCGGCUCAUCACAUCCUGGGGCUGAAGUAGGUCCCAAGGGUAUGGCUGUUCGCCAUUUAAAGUGGUACGCGAGCUGGGUUUAGAACGUCGUGAGACAGUUCGGUCCCUAUCUGCCGUGGGCGCUGGAGAAUUGAGGGGGGCUGCUCCUAGUACGAGAGGACCGGAGUGGACGCAUCACUGGUGUUCGGGUUGUCAUGCCAAUGGCACUGCCCGGUAGCUAAAUGCGGAAGAGAUAAGUGCUGAAAGCAUCUAAGCACGAAACUUGCCCCGAGAUGAGUUCUCCCUGAGACUUUAAGUCUCCUGAAGGAACGUU